GACGGAGGAUGCAAGUGUUAUCCGGAAUCACUGGGCGUAAAGCGUCUGUAGGUGGUCAAAUAAGUCAACUGUUAAAUCUUGAGGCUCAACCUCAAAAUCGCAGUCGAAACUAUUAGACUAGAGUAUAGUAGGGGUAAAGGGAAUUUCCAGUGGAGCGGUGAAAUGCGUAGAUAUCUGGAGGAACACCGGUGGCGAAGGCGACAUCCUGGACCGGUAUUGACGCUGAGGCGCGAAAGCCAGGGGAGCAAACGGG
rnacentral:rRNA from 1 species